rnacentral:rRNA from 1 species
AGGACAAACGCUGGCGGCGUGCCUAAGACAUGCAAGUCGAACGGAAGGCUUCGGCCUUGAGUGGCGGACGGGUGAGGAGCGCGUGGAGAACCUGCCCCGGGGUGGGGGAUAACAGUCGGAAACGAUUGCUAAGACCGCAUACGACCAUUCGUUGCAGGAUGAAUGGGGAAAGCAGCGAUGUGCCCUGGGAGGGCUCCGCGUCGGAUUAGCUAGUUGGUGGGGUAACGGCCUACCAAGGCUGCGAUCCGUAGCUGGUCUGAGAGGACGGCCAGCCACACUGGGACUGAGACACGGCCCAGACUCCUACGGGAGGCAGCAGUUAGGGAAUUUUGUCAAUGGGCGAAAGCCUGAACGAGUGACGCCGCGUGCGGGAUGACGCCUUCGGGUGUAAACCGCUUUUCCCAAGGACGAGGAUGGACGGUACUUGGGGAAUAAGUCUCGGCUAACUACGUGCCAGCAGCCGC